rnacentral:rRNA from 1 species
AGUGAACGCUGGCGGAGUGCUUAACACAUGCAAGUCGAACGAGAACGGGAUAUAGCUUGCUAUAUUUGUCAGCUAAGUGGCGCACGGGUGAGUAAUGUAUAGAUAACCUGCCCUCUAGAAAGGAAUAACAGUUGGAAACGAAUGCUAAUGCCCUAUAUGCCUUUAAUACAUAAGUAUGCAAGGGAAACGAUUUAGUGCUCGAGGAUGGGUCUGUAUGGUAGCAGCUUGUUGGCGAGGUAAUGGAUCACCAAGGCUAUGACGCCUAACUGGUUUAAGAGGAUGAUAAGUCACACUGGAACUGAGACACGGUCCAGACUCCUACGGGAGGCAGCAGGGGGGAAUAUUGCACAAUGGACGAAAGUCUGAUGCAGCAACGCCGCGUGGAGGAUGACACAUUUCGGUGCGUAAACUCCUUUUAUAUAGGAAGAUAAUGACGGUACUAUAUGAAUAAGCACCGGCUAACUCCGUGCCAGCCGCCGCCGUAAAAC